CCCGACCGUUGCUGCUACCUUGACGUGGUGGUCGGGCUUGCCUAUCGUGAUGAACCAAUCGAGCUAUGCUGGCUGGAACAAUCGUUCCUCGAGGUCCUACCAUGCCAGACAGGUCGGUUGAAGAGCGGUAAGACUAAAAGCAGC
rnacentral:ribozyme from 1 species